UGAGGAAUAUUGGUCAAUGGGCGCAAGCCUGAACCAGCCAUCCCGCGUGCAGGAAGACGGCGCUAUGCGUUGUAAACUGCUUUUCCAGGGGGAGAAACUUGCGCACGUGUUGCGCAAUUGACGGUACCCUGGGAAUAAGCAUCGGCUAACUCCGUGCCAGCAGCCGCGGUAAUACGGAGGAUGCAAGCGUUAUCCGGAUUCAUUGGGUUUAAAGGGUGCGUAGGCGGACUAUUAAGUCAGCGGUGAAAUCCUGCAGCUUAACUGCAGAACUGCCAUUGAUACUGAUAGCCUUGAGUUUGGUUAAGGUAGGCGGAAUGUGUAAUGUAGCGGUGAAAUGCUUAGAUAUUACACAGAACACCAAUUGCGUAGGCAGCUUACUGAGCCGACACUGACGCUGAGGCACGAAAGCGUGGG
rnacentral:rRNA from 1 species